rnacentral:tRNA from 1 species
UGAAGCGUAAACCGUAACUGGUAGCGGGCCGGAUUGUAGCUCCGGUGCGAAAGCUCUGGGGGUUCGAGUCCCUCCGCUUCAACCC